UACGUAGGCAGCGAGCGUUGUUCGGAGUUACUGGGCGUAAAGAGUGCGUAGGCGGUUUUCUAAGUUUGGUGUGAAAUCUCCCGGCUCAACUGGGAGGGUGCGCCGAAGACUGGAAGGCUUGAGUAUGGGAGAGGUAAGCGGAAUUCCUGGUGUAGCGGUGAAAUGCGUAGAUAUCAGGAGGAACACCGGUGGCGAAGGCGGCCUUGUGGACGGUGACUGACGCUGAGGCGCGAAGGCGUGGGGAGCGAACGGG
rnacentral:rRNA from 1 species